rnacentral:lncRNA from 1 species
CUUCGUUGUACCCCUCCAUCCUCCAUCUCUGCAUCCCUGCACCCCUCCAUCCUCCAUCCCUGUACCCUUACAUUCUCCAUCCCUGCAUUCCUCCAUCGCAGCAUCCCUGCAUGCCUCCGUUCUCUGCAUCCCUCCACCCCAGUAUCCCUGCACCUCUUCAUCCCUCCAUUCCUGCAUCCCUCUAUUUUUCCAUCCCUCCAUUCCUGUAUCCCUGUGCCCUCCAUCCUCCAUCCCAGCAUCCCUCCAUCCCUGCUCCCCACUCUCACUUCCCUUCCCUUCACAGACAGGCUUUUCCUGCCAUCCUCAGACCCCACCCAGGGUUACCUGAUGCCUUUCCAGCUGCACACGGGGACUGACUCACCUCUCUCUUUCUCAGUCCCAAAGUCCCGAAAGAGAGCAUCUGAUGUGGUCAGCUUGUGACAAGGCGUCCACCUUCUGUCCAUGACAUGGAGGCCAGGGGAAGGUCUCACUGCCCAGCACCCCACCCUGUGCUCCCAGGCCUUUUGAAUGUUCCUCCUGCUCAGCCCAGUGACUGCGGGCUGUGGCUCCUCCUCCAGCCUCCCCUCGAGGUCCUGGUCUUACUUAGGAGGCCCCGGGUGUAGAUGCCUUCCCACCCACCAGGCAUUGCCCCUUUUCCUGGCUUCACAGACUCGGGAAUAAAGUUUCCUUCUGUUUCCCCUCUUGCAGAAGGAGAUCCGGUUGGCAGCUAAACCGCGCUGGGAACAGGGGCCUGAGUCCUGGACUAGGGCUCUUUCCCCGGGGCUGCUGCAGAUGGGGAGGAGCCUACACCCGCCUCCCGAGUGCUAAUCAGACCUGACAGGCUGGAGAAUGGCCAGUCAGCCUGAGGCCACCGCGGGACACCACCUAGGCCCAGCUUCUCCCCCCACCAGAGGGCGCCAGAGCCCGCCAAGCCUCGUAGGAGAUGGCAACAGGGCCUGCUGCUGCCACCUAGCGGCCAAUUCCGGGAAUGAAUCUCGGCACGCUCAUUACCCAGCGACUCUGCCCAUCUUGACCCUUUAUGUGAAGCAGAACAGCCGCUUCCGCAGUGAGCUGUCAGAAGGCGUCGUGCCUGUCUUGCUAGUGGGGAAACUGAGGCUCAGAGAGGCAGAAGACUUGCCCAAGAUCACACCACCGGGACCCAGGAUUCAAGCGCAGGCCUGCCCAGGCUCUCUGUGGCCUCCUGGCUGCGAGGAGGCAGCCAGGGACCAGGUGCCACCCUUCUGAGACACCUGAGAUCCCAGGCCCGAGAGGAUGAAGGCGGGAUUACCUGGAGCGUGUCUGAAUGCUGGAGGAAGAAGGGCAGCUGGGAGAUGAAGCUGUCAGGAUGGGCCGCAUCCCAUUUCCUGCCUCGUUUCAGUUCAACUUUCCAACAGACCUCCCUGGCUCGUCUUGCUCUUCUCUAAUGGACAAACAAACAGGCUCAGAGAGGUGGUGUGACUUGCCCAAGGUCACUCAGCUUGGAUGCUAUGGAACAGGGACGUCCACUGUCCCAGUCUGUUUAUGGGAAGCCGCUCUGCAACUGUCCUGACCCACCACAUGCCCCACCGCUGUUUCUCUUGCCCUGACCCCUUGUUCCCUGGACCAGGGUGGCACAGCUCCAGGCUCUUGGGCCCUUCCCGAGGGCAGGCACCUGUGACUGUGUCCCCAAAGACCUGAGUGGCUGAGGGGGCCCCACAGAGCUUGGACUUCCUGGAGGACAAGGAGGGGUCUGCCAGCCACCCCCACCACGCCCGCCCCAGGGCUCCCCUGGAGCUUCCAUGCCAGCCGGACUCAGGUGGGUCUGGAGGAGCACCGUGCCUCCAAUCAGACCUUGAGAUGUGCCCCCUGCCCCCACUGUGCCCUCCCCUGCCCAGGAGUCUGGUUGCAAACCCUGAUUAAGGGGAUUUUAUCUCCACCAGAGGGCCAGUAGGUGGGAAGUAGCUUAAACAAUGCAGGUUUAUAAUCUCACAGUUCUGGAGGUCAAGAGUCUGAAAUGGGCCUCAUGGGGCUAAAACCAAGGUGUCUGCAGGGCUGUGUUCCUUCUGGAGGCUCCAGGGCAGGAAGGGGAGGAUCCACUUCUGUGCCUUUCCAGCUUCUAGAGGCUGCCUGCGUUCCUUGGCUCGUGGCCCCUUCCUCCACCUUCAAGCCAGCAGCGGAGGCCUGAGUCCUUCUCAUGCCAUCUCUCUGUUCUCUCUCCUGCCUCCUCCUCCACACUGAAGGACCCCUGUGAUCACACUGGCCCCCCCACCGGAUGACCCAGGAUAAUCCAUCUCCCUGUUUGAAGGUCGGCUGAUUAGCAACCUUCAUUCCAUCUGCCUCCUUCAUUCCCCCUGGCCAUGUAAUGGGAUUCACAGCUUCUGGGGAUUAGGACAUGGACAUCUUGUGGCGGGGGCAUAAUUCUGUCGACGACACCAAGAAACACUUGGAUGUUAAGGAUUCACCGAACACUGUUCAGGCUCCAGGUGCUGGGAGCAGCAGUGAACAAAGCCAACAGACACUGCCACCCUCAAGGAGUUCACGUUCAUGGGCGAGGGAACAGAUGAGAAACCCGGCAAUGAAAGUAAGUAGCAU